UAGGGCCUAAACUUUGAAAGUGAUAUAUAAAGCUAGUAGUAGGCAUCCAUAAUCAAAAGAAAGAAAAGGUCUAUCAGUAGGUAAAAUGUUUCAAGGUAAUAGUUCUGGUUGUGGUAGAACUCAAGUGUAUUUAUAGAGCUUUUCUGAGGUUUGUUUAAUAUACUUUAUAAUAUAUAUAUGUGUGUGAAGAAAAACACACUUGGACUGAGUGUUGGUGGUUUAUACCUUUAGUCCCAGCACUCAGGUCUCUUGAGUUCAAAUCUCCCUGGGAUUUUCAGGACAGCAAGGGGUAUACUGUGAGAAAUCCUGUCUCAGCAAACCAGAAAACAAACCACAUUUCAGAGUUUUUUAUUUGUUUGUUGUUUGUUUGUUUUUUAAUGUUGGAACUAGGGGGAUAGCAUUUCUCUCUCAGAGGAGAGGACCAGCAUUUGGCUCCUAGCACAUAUGUGGGGCUUACAGCUACCUGUAAGUCCCAUCUUCAGGAUCUUGCACUCUCUUCUGUCCUCUGCAGGGAUCGGCAUGCAUGGAUGUAUGAAAACACAUAUAAAUAAAAAUGAAGUAAAUCUUUUUUAGAGAGCCUCAUUUAUGUAUUGAAAUGGAACAUUGCUAAUAGGAGAGACAAACCUAUAAAUACUAUAUUUUUUGACUUAGUAUAAAAAGCAAUUACUUAAAAGAUUUUAAUUACUACUCUUCUCAUUUAUAGCUCAAAGCAUCAUUUUUAAUUUAAGUAGAAAUAGAAGGGGCAUAGUAAUUGAAACUAUAAACAUUUACUGUCUGGGUUUGGACAUAUUUGUACCUUCCUAAAAUGCUAUAUUUUCAGAGAUUACUUAUUUAUAAGAGAAAUAGU
rnacentral:lncRNA from 1 species